CCUACGGGUGGCUGCAGUGGGGAAUAUUGCACAAUGGGCGCAAGCCUGAUGCAGCAACGCCGCGUGUGUGAAGAAGGCCUUCGGGUUGUAAAGCACUUUCAGCGGGGAGGAAGGCGGUGAGGUUAAUAACCUCAUCGAUUGACGUUACCCGCAGAAGAAGCACCGGCUAACUCCGUGCCAGCAGCCGCGGUAAUACGGAGGGUGCAAGCGUUAAUCGGAAUUACUGGGCGUAAAGCGCACGCAGGCGGUCUGUCAAGUCGGAUGUGAAAUCCCCGGGCUCAACCUGGGAACUGCAUUCGAAACUGGCAGGCUAGAGUCUUGUAGAGGGGGGUAGAAUUCCAGGUGUAGCGGUGAAAUGUGUAGAGAUCUGGAGGAAUACCGGUGGCGAAGGCGGCCCCCUGGACAAAGACUGACGCUCAGGUGCGAAAGCGUGGGGAGCAAACAGGAUUAGAUACCCCGGUAGUC
rnacentral:rRNA from 1 species